GGGGGGGGGGGGGGAGAGCAGGGGGCAAAGUGAAAGUCGUAACCAAGGGUAAAAAUGCAAUGUUACAGCUGCUAUUUUCCAUCAAAUUAUGCACCAUUAUUUAUGUAUUUCUAAGGAAGUCCUGCAGCUACAUCUAUAGGCUGGGCUCCCUGACCGUACAUACUAGUGCGCUCAGCUGCUCUGGUGAGUCAGAUGCAGUGACACAAAAUUAUAUGUUGCUUUCUAUAUGAUUCAGCUUAAAAUACAAGCUUUUGGAGUGUGAGUACAUAAACAACAGCACACAGCAUUCCUUAGCAGAAGCCAUUUAAUUUAGGGUAAGUAAACUCUGCACUGUGGAAAAAACGCAGAACUCCAGGGAGAGCAUCGGUUGACUGUCUUUCCUGUGCCAGAAUCGCCUGGUUUUGCCUGUCUUCCUUGCCGUGGAUCUGUUUUUUCCCCCAAACAUUUAGUUUCUGUUUCUCCUGUUGGGCCUUCUCAAUCUGCUCAUGUACCUGAUUAUUUUUUGUUUGCUUUUGCCAUUUCUCUACAAAUAAUCUUCCUGGAAAACUGGGAACACCAGUAAGCAUCUCAGGUCCCUGGCCAAGUUUCCACUCACGUGGUUUCAGUUGCUCUAUUCUGUCAGGUAAUUUACAUGCAGCUUCCUAAGGAUAUAAUUUAGUGGAGUGCUAUUAAGAAGCUAACCUUUAUGUCUUGGCUUCAGUCCACAUAGGUCAGGUUUAUGUAAGCUUGUUUCCUUAUGAUGAGUUCAGUGGCUACUCUUAAAAGUCCGUGGUUUCCUAUUACACUAUCCUAGGGAAAAGGCAGUGUUAGGCUGUUCUUGCAAAGACUUAAAAAAGGGCAGAGUCAGCUUGCUCUUUUCACCUACAGCAUGACCCAGAAUCUUCUGAAUCUUGCUUUUCUAUGUACGCACGACUUGAGGCUCUUACGGUGAGAAGGGUAGGCUUUCAAUGAGUGACAGGUCCAAUGCUCCACUGGAGCUGGUGUGCUCCAAUAAAAGAGAGGUUCUUAAAACCAGCAUGGAUGUGUUAAACUGACCCUCUAAACUACUUUGCUCAUAGCAGAGCUGAUGCCCUAUUCUCAGGUUUUGGUUUCAUCCAUACUGGAGUUGUUUUGUAUCCAGUAUGGCAUGCAUUCUUGGGAGAAAUGCUAUGUGAGCCCUCUGCUUUGAGCUCUCAGGGAACGUUUCACGACGUGGAGGCUUUGGUGGCAUUGCUGGUCUAAGCAGUCCUUUGCUACCUUCUGCUGCUUGCACUUCUGCACCAUAGCAUACAGCUGUCUGGAGCUGCCUAGCAAGCUAUCAGCAUGUUAAUCAGGGUGUUACACACCGCACCCUGUCCUGUAUAUGCUUUUUUUUACCCCAGGGUGGAAGUGAAGGAGGCUCAUAUUUGUGUGAGUUUUUAAAACCUGGAUCAGGUCAGAUUUAGAACACUUUUAAGAUAGCAGUAAAAACAGGUGGCCAGUGUGCAGCUGAAGUUGGACAGCGUUUAGGCUUUGUUACUGCAGCCUCUGUUUCCUUAAACUGCGUCUAAGGAUGCUGGGGAGCAGCAGCAGCAGUAUGUCCCUUGUGCACAUGCAUGUUAAGCAUGUUUUUUUUCUGCUUUGUAGGUCUGACCCAGCCAAGUGUUCUCCUGUAUGUAGCUUUCUGACCAUGCAAUUGCAGCAUUAGAAAACCUCAUGUCUGUAAGCAGCAUUGGUGAUUGCUAGAUGUAGUUCAGACAAAUUGCAACAGGAGAAGGGAGCUAGAGUAAGAUAUGGAGAAGUUUUUCCCAAGUUUCUGUCCUUUAGGACUGUUAAAGAGAGUACUGAUUUGUUAUAAUUAGGGACUUAUAUGUUGCCCCUACACACCUGGCUAAAUGCACCUUUUAUAUGUAAUUGAAGAGUAGAUCUGCAAGAAGAGAAUUAGAUGCUAAGAUAUAUCAUAAAUGAUGGAUGAAAGGCUUAAUCUCAACUUUCCAUGUCAACAUUUUUGGACUCUUCCUGAUACGGCUGAAGGUAGCUUCAUUACUAUGAACUUUCUCACAAUGCAAAUAUGAUUUAUUGCCUCUGUUCUGAUAGUAGUGCAUGUUUUCCUGCUGUUCCAGAGUGAAAUGUGCAGUGAUUUCACUGUAAUUGCUCUGCUUUAGCAAAUGUCAGAUAAAAUAAUAAUUGUGUCCCCUAAGAAUUUGAUUAUUUUUGUUGUUAACCUUUCUGGAAAACAAAGGAGCAGAAGUGAAGGCAGAUGCAAUCCUCAGGUGAAUUGGAGGGAGGAUGUUGUGCAGCCAAGUAGGUACAUCUCACAUGGGACAAAGGACACUGCAUGCUUUACUAGUUCAUAUUAGUGAGAUCUGUUAACCCUCCUAUAAAUCCGUGCCCAUGAGAGCUCCUUUCAUCACCAGGGUAAAUUGUGAAUGGAGCAACUGCUGUCCCAGUGCUACCUGCUGGAAACAAGUGGAUGAAGAAGGGAAAAGGAAAUUUUACUAGCUACUCCAGUCCAGUGAAAAUUAACAAAUUUGGUUACUGUCUUCACUGAGAACCAAAGGAAUCAAGGAAGCCCUGAAGAGCUUGGCUUGUUGCCUGUAGACACCUGGGAUGGAGUAUCUGUUCCCUCUUGAGAACAGAUUGAAAGUGACAGUCAGUCCCAGACAAAUACAGUUUAUAUUUGAAUUGUUAUGUUUGAAAACUUCUAAUUGUGCUUGUCUUUCCAACUCUCAUCCAUGAAGAGGCUGUGGGUUAGCCUUGCUGGGAGUACAGCGGCAUGUGGCGUGCUUGGCCAUGGAAGCAGAGCAACAGAGAGAACAUGGAUCACAUCACCAGUCAUAAAUCCUCCUCUUAGUAUCUUCUCCCCCAUCACGGACUCUCCUAGGGUUGUGGCCGUAAGUUUAAACCUGACGGUGCCAGGGAGGGCCGGCUGCAGCUGCAGUGUGGGUGAGGGAAUGGCCGCGUUACCCUGCGGGGUGCAGGACCUGGAGCACACACGACGCCCCGUAAUGCCCAUGGGCAGCGAGACGGCGUGAGCGUCUCCAUCGCCCAUGCUCUGCACCACUCGCUUCACGCCUCUGCUUGAACUCUCCUGUGUAUCCAGAUACCACACGGUGCUGCCAAAUGCACGUAGGAAGUAUUGGGCUAUGGCAGCUUUGAAAUUAGAGAGGCUGCUGUAACUGCUGCUGCUGGCCUAUUGUACUUGUGGGUCUCUACCAGCAGAGGGUGGCUCCAGCAGUGCUUCAACACUGCUUUAAUGUUUUUUCAUUUUAUAGUCUGAGUGAGUGUAACAGCCCUACUGCUUCCUUUUUUUUCCUAAUCCUCCAGUUACUUUUAUUUAGGAAUUAUAUGACAAAGUUUUUAUCUGAGCUUUUUUUCAUUUUGCUUUGCGUGUCUGUAGUUCUUCCUGCUGAGAAUAGCUAAACAUUAUACAUAUACAUACAGGAGCCUGCUCCUAAACAUUAUUUGUGCAUGUAUAAUUACUCUCAUGUGGAGUCCCAGUAUUUUUGACAGUUAAUGACUAGACAGUUAAUUAUGUGAGUAGCUAUUAUGCAGGAAUGAGCUCAAUUCUCAUGCUUGUGUUACAGUGAGACUAAUUUGUCUCUUGAGAUGCUUGUGACUUUCUAUUGAUUACGGAGGGAUCAGAGGCCAGACUAGCACAAAAUUAUACUUCUAACCUCCACACCAACCUUAGAUAAGUUUUGCCCGUUGUGUCUAUAGGCUGAUGUUACUAAUAUUGGGAAAUACCCUGCCUAAUUUUUAAAGGCCCAGGGGUACUUAUCAGUACUGUGAUCUGAUUUCAUAUCCAGUGGCAUAAAGUGUGAUAGUUACUCAUGUAAUUACUAGGGAGUCAUCAGCUUUUCUGAAGUCACUGGAACUCCAUAUGGGAAUAAUUGCACAUGUAUAAGUAGUUCAGGCUGUUGUUGACUGAAGAUCUGUUAGGAAGUAAUACAUGGUAAAAGGUAGUAAUAGUAAGUGAUGAUGGAAAAUUUAUCAUGUUCUAAUAUUUAGUGAUUCAUAUUCUGUGUUAAUGUUCUGCUGAGGACUUUCCUACACAAUAUUUAGAUGUUUUUAAGGGGUUUGAACGAAGAUUCAAAAAUACCUAUCCUUGAUUUCAGUUGAUUUAUCCGUCAGCUGGAGUGAAGGGGCUCAAAGUUCAAAUCAGGCUGUAGUCAGCUGUGGAGAGUAGAUUUGGUGAGUCAGAAAAUCUCUAAAGUAGUUUCAUUUACUUAAGAGGCAAGGCCUGUAUUUUCAAAACUGAAUUCCUGUCUAAAGUGCUUUAAAUUUAAAAAGCUGGAUACCAGCAGUUCUCACUUCGGAACCAUCUCAGAAGUAUAGCAUAGAUGAGACCUUAGCAUCUCCUGGAGUAGAUAACAUUCCUAUGAGUUUGCAGAAAAAGAGCAAACUAGUGACCAGCUCAAGCAAAAGAUUGAAGAUUUGCAACACAUCUUCCACAGUGGCUAUAGAGAGUGGAUAAUCUCUGUCUCUCUUUUCCACAAAGCACAGGAAAUACCAAACCCUACAAGAGUAGCGUUUGCAUCCACCUCUUCUGCAGACAUCAAGCCUUUUGAACGAGCUUUCUAUGCCCACAGUACAGAACUAUGUCCACAGUACAAGAAGGAUGUUUGAUGCAUUAGAACACAGCGAAACACCACAAGAAUGAUUAAAGGAUUAGAGAAACGGGGUCAGGAGGAUAAUACAAGGUUUCAGCAGAGACAGGGGUCCACAGGGCCACAACAGUUUUCCAGUCCGUGCAAACUGUAUAGAAGGAUCUGCGGGAGUUUAAGUGUGCUCAGCAAUUGAGCUCUGUGCAGGGUUAAUAAUACAGAAAGUCUUGUCUGUGAUCUCUGACUGUAAUGACUUAUUAGUAUACCUAUCAGCUUUCAGGUUAUGGAAAUGACCUAUGAUUUAUAAAAUAGCCUCUUCCUGUUUGCAAUGCUUUAGUGAGAUAUUGAGUCAUCUCUAACCCUUUAGCCUUCCCUGCACAGCUUCUUUCUCGUUUGCUCUCUGUCCCUCAAAAUUUGGAUUGAUGAAAGUGGACAAUGUUUAUCCCCACCCCCCACCUCCCCUGGGAACUUGUCUGAAUUUUAUCAGUUUUGGAUGAAUUACUGCCUUUUCCUGAGAAAAAGUGUUAUGAGUUACACCACUGAUGAUUUGAAUCGUAGUAAAAAAUAAGUUGUGUGUAGUUUGGGGGAAAUUAAUUAUUUUUUUGAUUUUUUUUUAUUAACUACUUGCAUUCACUGCAAGAUCUAAUCUUUGAUUUCCUAAAGUGAACUUGAAUUAUGUCAGAGUUUUAGCCUUUACCCCUUUCACAGAGGAGACAAAUUCUGUUUUGCUUUUGUUUUUUCAUAUGAUGACAGUCCAACCUAUGCAGCUGGAUUAAUUGCGAGAAGGUCAUGUUCUAGCCUCUGCUUGAUAAGAAUGUUCUUUGGCUUCGUUAAACAGGGCCAAACUAUAGGGAACUAUAUGUCCUAAAACUGUAUGGUAGAGCUGUAGAUACUAAGACCAAAUUCAUUCAAAUCUAUGAAAUUGUAUCCAUUGAUGACCUUCUCUUAGGAUCUAGUUCAAUUCCUAACAUGGUUUUGGUUCCACCUACUGAACUGAAGUGAGUUUUAUUACUGUGUAGCAACAAAACCCUGCCAUCCAAAAAUCUACUUGCCUAUGAAAACCUGCUUCACAGAUCACAGUCCCUAUAAAGAUUUUUUUCUGCCCUGUGUGCAAACCCUUCUGGAUUUUGUAGGACCUGCACUGAUUUGUUUGUAUGCUCUGACUUCAUGCCCAAAGUGUGUCAUGGCUACAAACACUCCAGUCUUCAGCUUUUCCAGCAAGUUGUAGGCAGCUUCCCAAUUAGCAUACUGACUCAAAGUGGUUUCUUGCUCAGAAAAGAGUUUGUGUGGUGUGAGAAGGCACCUAACUCUUCUCCUGUAGUGUGAUGAACCCAGGUGCCCAAGAGGAGGUUCUGGAUUCAGCUGGAAGAUAGAUGUUGCAAUGCUCCACCAGAUCAUGUUUCACUGCCUUUUGGAUUGAGCUCCUAAUCCUCCUGAAAUCUCAGCAGUAAGGUAUCUGACCCUUUGAAGGGCCCUUCGAAGGAUGAGAUGGAGAAGGUUUCUGAAAACAGGACAUAAAUUCUUUAAUCAGGCUUGCACAGUUGGAAAUUUUAGCCUUUUUCUGCAAAAUACAGCAUAGGUUAAAAUAAAGCAGGUUGGAUGUUCUCAUUUCUUAUUCACAAUGGUUCCAUUUAUUUUAAUUUCAACUCUGAAAAUAUAGCAUCUGGCUAUGAGCUUCAUUUACAGUGGUUAUGCAGCCUGAUGUGUGUGCUGAAAAAUAGCAGGAGACCGCAGAACUACGUUAUUCCUUUGUGCCAGUGAGAUGUUCCUGUUCAUCUCUUGGACAGUGUCAUAAUUCACUUAGUGGUCUUAGCCUCUAUGUCUGGGCUGUUUGAAGCUGAUAAUGUAUGACCUCAUGAAUAAUCUAUAUGUUAGUUGUAUAGUCAUUCUGCCUUCCUAGAGGCAAGUCUUUUUUGGACAUUAUCUCACAGAGAAAGAGAAAAGAAAACAGAACAGGAAAAGUGGCAUUGAGAGAGCCAACAAUUUUCCAAAUUUGAACUACAUUGCCUUUGCAUACUGACAAUUUACAAUUGCUUUGUCAAGUUACGGAAGUUUUCAAAAUCUUUGACAAGGAAAAUAUGAAUGUGACAUACUGUUCUUUCCUUAUGGAACAUUUUAAUGGCUACGCUCCACUUUCUCAGUGGGCUCUUACUUUCUUAGAGCAGGAAUUUGUCGCUGCUUUCUUGAUUUGGAGGAACUCGCUGCCAAAGUCAACAAGGAAGGAAUUGACAGGAUGGACUUUAGCAACAGGGAAAUUGUGACACGACUGCAGAGAAUGUAUGCGGGGAGGAGGGGCUAUUUCUGUUUCAAAAAGCAAUUUCUUACUGGCAAAACAAGUUCCACUCUUUCUUGCAGAUGUCUUGUCUCUGUCUUGCAGAACCGCUAAGAUGUUUCUUCUUGUCAGAAGCCAAAGAAGAGAGAUUUACUAUAGUAAUAAUAUCUAUACACAUGCUAUUUUAACUCAAAUCAUUCUGUUUAGCUGAACUAAGGCAGGUUUUAAAAACAGCCAGAACUGUAAUAAUUAGAAGUCUUUGCAGUUGUUAUAGGGGUUGUUUUUCUGCUGAGUUCACCCACAUGCUGCAGAUUCUAAGACAAAGGAAGGAAGUACGCAUUGGUACAAAAGCACACUAAAAUAUCACUCAUUACCUUCUGCUGACUGGUCAUGGGUGAUUGGGGCCAGGCAUGUCAGUUUUCCAAGAGAAGAGAAGUCACGGGUGCAAAACCUGAGUGUAUGGAAAAUAACAUUUUUUAUACUCAAAUAUCCAUGUUAAAGCAAUGAAGGUGCUAAGCACCACACAGGGCAGUCAUAUCUUUUGGAAAUGUAGCUAAACACAAGUGUGCAGGAGUCCAAGAUCUCACUAAAGCAGUGGUGAAGCUGGCAGGCAAGUUCUCUUCUUCUCUGCUUGCUCUUCCCUGAAACACUAUGACCAAAAUUAAUAAUUCACCGUGUCUUCCCAAGCCUGAAUAUUCACUCAUGCACAAAGAGAAAAACUGGAAGACUUUUGAAAGCACCCUGAUCACUGGGACAAAAUCUUGGUUAGCUAUGAGUGGAAUGUGCUCUUAUAACAUGCAAAACAGCCUUAAAAAAAAAAAAAACAGUGGUUUAGGUCAAAAGCUAACAAGAUGAGCUAUGAGUUCUUAUUACUUCCCAUGUUUCUUCAUAGUAAACAUCUGGCAUGGUUUAAAAAUGCUGAGAAUGUGACAGCAAUUGACAAAUAAAGACUGGAUGUUAAGGAGAUACUGCGUUCAGUAAAUUUUAAUUGUUUUUGUAAAACACAACUGAUGCUGAUGUAGGUCUUGCAUUUGCAAUCUCAACCAGAAAAACGAGAUUAAGUUUUCUCUACCACGACCCUUACACACCUUGCUUUUCACACUUGUGCAAGCACACCUAAAUGGGCCACAUCCCAAAUGGCUUAGGGAGAGAGAUCCUGAGAAAUUACAGUUCUUUGAAUUUCUUGUUUUCAACUUUGUUUUAAUGAAAGCAUGUUUCUUAUUUUUAGUGUGUGCUCAGUGUAUGUGUAUAUGUGCGAGACCACGUUUCCACUGUUGUUAUUACUGGAUUUGUGCACUACCAGUUCACUGAGCACAGAGGUUUGGUUCCAGUUAGGUGGAGGCACGUGACGGCGUUUCUGUUGAAUUACUCAGAAUCUGUGGUAUGGACGUAAUAGCUGGUGGAGGAUAGGUGAUACCUGAUGUGACAUAAAGUGACAAUGGCACAGAGAGACAGUAGCUGUAAUCGCAUUAAGCACGCCAGUACAAAAUUAAACCAGCAAAACUUUUGAAGAAAUUUUAACUGGCAGCAUGAGUUAAAGCUGGAUGUGCAUAGUGGGUUAUGGCAUAUCUAGCCUGAUACAGAGGACUCUAGUGUGGGAUUUAUUGUGUCAUCAAGCCACAGCCAGAGAGAAAGAGGGUGAACUGUAUCUUUUAUAGUUGCUAAAAAUGGAAAGCACUCUGUCGCUGGUAUGCUCUUCUCAGUGAAAAAGCCAGUGCUAUUUGAAAACUGCUGUUGGAGAUGAUUCAACCAUCAUUUGCAUGUUAAAUCUCUGAGAAGAUUCUGUGUUACUGCAUUAAGUAAGGGAAGAAGAACAAUAGCAAAUUGGUAACAUGCAUUAACAGUGAGAUUUAAGGGAGAUGCACAAGCAUUUGUAUAACUGUAUUUCAUUGAGCUAAGCCAGGGUACAGUUAUUGUUUGCUUGGAUCAUUUAAGUGGCCUAAGACCUAAAUAUAUACUUAAUAUCAUACAGCCACUUCUGCUUGUCCCCCAGUGACAUGUUAACCAUGUUAAUAAACUCUACUAGCUAAAUACUAGCUGGGUUUUUCUGGUUAAAAUAAAACCAGGUCUUCAUUACAUUUUAAGAUAAAAGAAAAAAAUUCUGCCUUUCAUUAGGUUAUCUGGUUUAUGCUGUAUUAAUUUGAUGAGUAGAUAGUUUGAAUCAUUAAUUUAUUGAUCUACCUGAAAUCACAGCCUGAACUGUAUAGAAUGUAGCGUAUCGCUUUGUUUCCCAAUUAGUUUGGUGAAAUUGUGAGUGAAUUGGGUAAGUACUUUGUGAGAUUUACGUUUGGACACUCACUGUUUUUAUGCAACCCAUACAUGGGAUACAAGAUCUGUUUACUUCAUCAACCUGGGUCCCAACUCUGAAGGCAUACAUAAGCUCUGAUGUGAAAUCGCAAGCCUCGUCUUGUGCCUGUCUCCAAAUGACUCCCUACGUCUCUUGCACUACACAGAUUGUACCAUCACCGACAGCAUGGGCAAAGGUAACAGCUGUCUUGCAAUAUUGAGAAUGGAGCUGUUUCUCAAUUAUAAAUAUGCGUAUGUGCUAUGGAUUUGCUUGCCUGCCUUUAUUCACCAGCAUAACUCCACAGAAGAUGUAGAAAUGCCGAAUGUACAAUGAAUAAUGAACACCUUCCUGGAUACAGAGCCAGUCUGAAACAAGGCAAAGUAGGUGACUACACAGAGCAGCUGACUUCUGCAGGGCAAAACAGUCACAGCCAUUCGACCUGCUUUUUCAGCCUGGAGGGGUGGGACCUGCUUUGUUCUUUUUUGCUCAUUUUAUAUAUUGUGCUCCUUUAAAAGGCUGUGGUUUGGCAGCAGGGAGGAAGGCUGCCUCGCUGUCUUGUCUUGGAUGCUGCAGCCACAGGUGGACCUGUGGAGGAGGGACAGCAAGCCUUUCUGUGGAGCAAGUAAGCACGAUGGGUUGGUUGAACCAUCUUAAGUGUGGGAUGGGACAGAGAGAGGUCUCACUGAGGGGCCUGCUUUAAGAGCAGAAACAAGGAGGUUUUCUGAGAAAAGCAGGGAGCAGUGAUGCACCAGGCCUGGGAGGUAACAGAAAGAGAAAGCUGGGCUGUGCUGAGUUUGUUGUAACCCAGGAAAGUAGCGAAGAGUUGCUCAGGUGAGAGCAGGUCUGAAAGAAAGGACCUAGCCUAAAAGGAUAGAGAAAGAGGGAAGAGUCAUUUGCAAACUUCCUGUUUCACCUCACUUCAGAUGUUUUCUAUUAAAAAAAUUGUGCUUAUUUAUGUUCUAAUAAAACCUAAUAAUAAUAAAA